rnacentral:rRNA from 1 species
UACGUAGGGGGCAAGCGUUGUCCGGAAUCAUUGGGCGUAAAGAGCGCGUAGGCGGUCCGGUAAGUCCGCUGUGAAAGUCCAGGGCUCAACCCUGGGAUGCCGGUCGAUACUGCCGGACUAGAGUUCGGAAGAGGCGAGUGGAAUUCCCGGUGUAGCGGUGAAAUGCGCAGAUAUCGGGAGGAACACCUAUGGCGAAGGCAGCUCGCUGGGACGUUACUGACGCUGAGACGCGAAAGCGUGGGGGAGCAAACAGG